rnacentral:tRNA from 1 species
AUUCAUAUAGUUUAUAAUUAAAACCCUUCAUUUUCAAUGAAAUAAAGAGAAUUUAAUUCUCUAUGAAUA